rnacentral:rRNA from 1 species
GAUGAACGCUGGCGGCGUGCUUAACACAUGCAAGUCGAACGAAGCACUUUAUUACAAUUUCUUCGGAAUGACGAUUUAGUGACUGAGUGGCGGACGGGUGAGUAACGCGUGGGUAACCUGCCUUAUACAGGGGGAUAACAGUUAGAAAUGACUGCUAAUACCGCAUAAGCGCACAGGAUUGCAUGAUCUGGUGUGAAAAGGUGGCCUCUACCUGUAAGCUAUCGCCUGAAGAGGGGUUUGCGUCUGAUUAGCUGGUUGGAGGGGUAACGGCCCACCAAAGCGACGAUCAGUAGCCGGCCUGAGAGGGUGAACGGCCACAUUGGGACUGAGACACGGCCCAAACUCCUACGGGAGGCAGCAGUGGGGAAUAUUGCACAAUGGGGGAAACCCUGAUGCAGCGACGCCGCGUGAGUGAAGAAGUAUUCGGUAUGUAAAGCUCUAUCAGCAGGGAAGAAAGUGACGGUACCUGAAUAAGAAGCCCCGG